CUAAAACCCCCCUUUUUUUAAAUUUUAAGACCUCAAAUCAGGUGGGACUACCCGCUGAACUUAAGCAUAUC
rnacentral:rRNA from 1 species